UCGAGAAUCUUCGGCAAUGGGCGAAAGCCUGACCGAGCGACGCCGCGUGCGGGAUGAAGGCCUUCGGGUUGUAAACCGCUGUCAGAGGGGAGGAAAUGUCAUGAGGCUAUCCUCAUGAUUUGACCGAUCCUCAGAGGAAGUACGGGCUAAGUUCGUGCCAGCAGCCGCGGUAAUACGAACCGUACGAACGUUAUUCGGAAUCACUGGGCUUAAAGCGUGCGUAGGCGGCUUGGAAAGUUGGGUGUGAAAUCCCUCGGCUCAACCGAGGAACUGCGCUCAAAACUGCCAGGCUUGAGGGAGAUAGGGGUGAGCGGAACUAAUGGUGGAGCGGUGAAAUGCGUUGAUAUCAUUAGGAACACCGGAGGCGAAAGCGGCUCACUGGGUCUCUUCUGACGCUGAGGUACGAAAGCUAGGGGAGCGAACGGGAUUAGAUACCCCCGUAGUCC
rnacentral:rRNA from 1 species